CUUACGGGGCGCAGCAGUGGGGAAUAUUGCACAAUGGGGGGAACCCUGAUGCAGCGACGCCGCGUGGGUGAAGGAGCACCUCGGUGCGUAAAGCCCUAUCGGCAGGGAAGAAAAGCGAACAGGUUCGCCUGGACGGUACCUGACUAAGAAGCCCCGGCUAACUACGCGCCAGCAGCCGCGGGAAUACGUAGGGGGCAAGCGUUAUCCGGAUUUACUGGGUGUAAAGGGAGCGUAGGCGGCGAUGCAAGUCAGAAGUGAAAGCCCGGGGCUCAACUCCGGGGCUGCUUUUGAAACUGUGUUGCUAG
rnacentral:rRNA from 1 species